GAUUCCCGUUACCCGUUAUAGCCAUUGUAGGCGCAUAACCUACAAUCGAAAGCUGAUAAGGCAGACACUUGAAAGAUGCGGCGCCGGCGCGGAGACCGUGCGCUCAGCUAAAAGUUAUUCAGAGUCACCACGAAGGGGUUUGACCUCCCGAGGGAGGACUGGUUUUGAUCUAAUAAAAGCGCUCUUCCACACGGGAGUGUGUCGGAGCUACUGGUUGGCAUGUAUUAGCUCUAGAAUUACCACAGUUAUCCAAGUAAGAAAGGGUAAGAUCCAAUGAACCAUAACUGAUUUAAUGAGCCAUUCGCGGUUUCGCCUUGCUUAGGCCUGUACUUAGACAUGCAUGGCUUAAUCUUUGA
rnacentral:rRNA from 1 species